rnacentral:rRNA from 1 species
UGGGGAAUUUUGGACAAUGGGGGCAACCCUGAUCCAGCAAUGCCGCGUGAGUGAAGAAGGCUUCGGGUUGUAAAGCUCUUUUGUCAGGGAAGAAACAGCAGCUCUAACACAGUCUGCGAAUGACGGUACCUGAAGAAUAAGCACCGGCUAACUACGUGCCAGCAGCCGCGGUAAUACGUAGGGUGCAAGCGUUAAUCGGAAUUACUGGGCGUAAAGCGUGCGCAGGCGGUUAUACAAGACAGGCGUGAAAUCCCCGGGCUUAACCUGGGAAUGGCGUCUGUGACUGUAUGACUAGAGUGUGUCAGAGGGGGGUAGAAUUCCACGUGUAGCAGUGAAAUGCGUAGAUAUGUGGAGGAAUACCAAUGGCGAAGGCAGCCCCCUGGGAUAACACUGACGCUCAUGCACGAAAGCGUGGGGAGCAAACAGGAUUAGAUACCCUGGUAGUCCACGCCCUAAACGAUGCCGACUAGUUGUUGGGAAUUUACAUUCUCAGUAACGUAGCUAACGCGUGAAGUCCGGCGCCUGGGGAGUACGGUCGCAAGAUUA